UACGAGAGGCCCAAACGUUAUUCGGAAUUACUGGGCUUAAAGAGUUCGUAGGCGGCGCGGAAAGUAGGGUGUGAAAGCCCUCGGCUUAACCGAGGAAUUGCGCUCUAAACUACCGUGCUUGAGGAACCUAGAGGUGAGCAGAACAGAUGGUGGAGCGGUGAAAUGCGUAGAUAUCAAGAGGAACACCUGAGGUGAAGACGGGUUGCUGGGCUGACACUGACGCUGAGGCGCGAAAGCCAGGGGAGCAAACGGG
rnacentral:rRNA from 1 species